GUCUGCUGAUAUCCUUAUCGCGAUGAACAUGGCAAGCCCGCACAAUCUCUCGCCACUCAUGCAUGCUCUUUUCCAAGUUUUCAGUCGUUUCAGGGCAGUCUGUGUUUCUAAAGGAAGCACAUUAUCAUCAACACAAUGAUCAAUGUCUUCUUCCAAUUCCUUCUCCAUCAGCAAUUUGGUAGCAGCAUCGAUAGUAACAGUUUUGUUUGCAAAAGGGAAUUAAGCUUUCCUGUAAGCACCAUCAUACAGUUGCAGUUACAAAAUAUUAAACUCGCUUUUAUGCUGACAAAGAGUACACAAACUAGGG
rnacentral:lncRNA from 1 species